AUGCGGGGUGCAAGGGGAGCGCUCCAGGGCGUGAAGCACCGUCUCCUGCGCCGUCAAAGGCACGGGUGUGCUUGGAACACGGACACGGACACGACAUCCUGUCCCCGGCAGGUGCGGUCGGCCGCGAGCUGUGUGACGAUUUGGGGGUCACCUGCGUCCCCAAGACAUGGCCACGGGUGUGGCAGGCCUCAGGGAUGUCCUGCUCUUUGCUUCGGUGAUUGUCCUCUUGCCCCAGGGUAUGCUCGCCGGGCGAGCCCCCUUUCACGCCGGUAAUUAGACGCUUUUCUGCCGCUUGCUGCAAGGAGCAGCAGGUGCAUUUCCGGAGCGGAGGACCCUGUGUCGUGGCAGGAGCCCAAGGCCGUCCUUUAAGCGGCUGUGGGGUGUAUUUUGAAAUCUCCAGAUUCCACAAGAGGAUUGAUGCCCCAAGGGGGAACGUCCAGGGCUGCACAUCGUUUUUCGCAGCCAACCUGCGCUGCUAAGAUGCUGACGGAUUUGAGACGUUCCCUGUUCCCUUCCCUGAGCGGGGAGGGGCACCCUGGUGCCCGGUGCGUGUCUGGGACUCACCCCUCAGGGUUUUCUGGUUCUGCCAAGCGGCCUGCCGGGUCCUGAGUGUGGAAACACCACACAGCACUGGCCGCAGCUGGGCCCAUGUGACUCAGCCCCGGUCGCCCGACGCCCGCAGAGCCAUCACACCCACCAGCAGGGAGAGAGAUUCACGGAGAGAGUGGCCGCUCCGCCCCGGGCUGGCUCUUCAGAAGCUCCACCGAGGGAAUCGUCAGUCAACUUUCUUCCCCUGGAAUGAGAAUGUCAUGAGUGCGCGAUGCGGUGAUUCACAGAGGCCUCUAAAUGAGGGUGCUUUGGCAGAAACACCCUAUACGUGAUGGAAUACUACUCGGCGAUGAACAAGCCGCAGGCAUGAUUUAGCAGCGCGUUGGCAAAGCUCCGUGACUCCGCCAGAGGCCUGGAGUGGGGCAGGGACCGCUGUUUAUCCUGAAUUUCAUAUCUUGAUGGAGCAUCGCUCCGAUUCUGGGGAAUUUGGAUGUUGCACUUAACUCCUCUUGGCUUCCACCCCACCCGCUCUGGAAUGGAGAGAUGGAUCUGCUGGACACUCACGAUGAAGGGUCAGAGAGAGCGGGGGCAUGAGAAGGACGCACACGGGGCGGAAUGCAUCAGCAAUGGAAGGGGUUGUCUUCACUG